AUCUGAGACAUGCUAACAUGUCCUUCACAGUGAGGAUUCGUCCGAGAUUGCGUUUUUGCUAGUUGAAAACUAUCAACUGACCGCUUCAGUUGGUCUUCGGAUCGGCUGGGAAUCUUUGGAACCCUAUUUAUCAUAUCUUGAUUACUUUUUCAUCAGUCGUCUGGCAAUAGC
rnacentral:snRNA from 18 species